GAAUUGUUGGUUAGGGGCUUGUAAGUAAGCAUUUCACUGUAAGGUCUACACCUCUUGAGUCACAGACGUGAUCUUCAUGUGCGGGUUGGCGCUCCCCCUUGGGUUGUGCCGUGGGGAAGAUCUUCGUGGGCUAUACUCGGCCUUGUCUCAGGAUGGUAAGUUGGUGGUUGGAGAUGUUGUGUUGGAAAAGUGAGUGGGUGGGGUUAUAUCCUGCCUGUUUGGCCCGGUCCGGGGGUAUCGUCGGAUGGGGCCACAGUGUCUCCCGACCCCUCCUGUCUCAGCCUCCAGUAUUUAUGCUGUAAUAGUUAAUGUGUUGGGGGGCUAGGGUCAGUCUGUUAUAUCUGGAGUAUUUCUCCUGUCUUAUCCGGUGCCCUGUGUGAAUUUAAGUAUGUUCUCUCUAAUUCUCUCUCUCUAAUUCUCUCUCUCUUUCUUUCUUUCCUUCUUUCCUUCUUUCUUUCUCUCUGUUGGAGGACCUGAGCCCUAGGACCAUGCCUCAGGUUUACCUGGCCUGAUGACUCCUUGCUGCUCCUCGUCCACCUGGUCGUGCUGCUGCUCCAGUUUCAACUGUUCUGCCUGUGGCUAUGGAAUCCUGACCUGUUCACCGGAUGUGCUACCUGUCCCAGACAUGCUGUUUUCAAGUCUCUAGAGACAGCAGGAGCGGUAGAGAUACUCUGAAUGAUCGGCUAUGAAAAGCCAACUGACAUUUACUCUUGAGUGAGACAACACGACAGUGUUGUUUAGAAGAAGGCUGUGGCGUCCUCCUGAAGUGGACUGACUCCUCCUGGUUUCAAUAUGGCUCUCUAUACUGUCUGUAGUCCAGAGGAGUUCUCCCUAGCUGCAGUGGGCAGUCAGAUCAAGGGGACUGGCUCUCCCUGCACUCGCAAUGAAGCGUACUACCACUGGGCUCAGCUGUUUGUAAUACUGGCUGAGCAGCCCGGACUGCUAUACACGUACAUAAUGCCACAUGCUCCAGCAAGCCCAGAGGAGAAGAGCGAGACGGAGGCCCUUCUAGGGGGAGAAGAUACAUCUAAUGUACUACAAUCUACUGCUGUGAUAGGGAAACUUUGGAAGCAAUAGAACGGCUAGUCUUAUCAUCUUAAAUUGAUUGUGUGUCCAGUUUAUGCUCGGCUAUUGCUAUCUUCUAGAUAUUAGUACACUCUUAGAAAAAAAGGCUUCCAAAAGUGUGUUUCGGCUGUCCCCAUAGGAGAACCCCAUUUGGUUCCAGGUAGAACCCAUCUGUGGAAAGGGUUCUACAUGGAACCCAAAAGGGUUAUUCAAAGGCUUAUCCUAUGGGGACAGCUGAAGAAACCUGUUGGGUUUUAGCUAGCAGCCUUUUUUUCUCUAAGAG
rnacentral:lncRNA from 1 species